UAAGGGCGGGAGAGGGUCCCUAAGCCCGGAUUGCGAGAGGGCGCAGGCCAGGCCGAGGGACCCCACUGGUGCACG
rnacentral:pre_miRNA from 1 species